AUGUGAGAUAAAAAGGUAAUUGGGAAUGCGUUAAUGGAAAACGCAAAAAUUUUCUAGGGAAAAAUGGCUUUCCAAACAAAGCUAAGUCGUGUCAAAACAUGCAUGAGUGAAAACUAUGUUGUAUACAAUUGAAAGCAAUGACAACAUAUAAAUGAGCAGAUGCAGCCAUAGCAUUGUGAGUUCCAUAUAUGCCAGAAUGAUGGAAUCUGCCUCUUGUGACUCAGUUAAGGACAAUCUCACUCUCAGCCCUUAUUGAUAUCGUCAUCACAUAGGUGCUGGAGUUCUUGGUCAUGCUCUAAUCUGCUUGAUUUUCACAUAGAAAAGCAUAUUUCAUAGGUUAUUUACUUCAGUUAUAUCAUCAGACAUUUGGGGUGGAUGACCUGUCUUUUGUGCAAAUGGUCAGAUGGAACAAUGUAUCAUCAGACAUCAGGCAGCUACUGCAAUAUCUUGGCAGGUAUACUAAGGUAGUUGGAUGUAGCUUUAGUGAUAAAUGUGCAAAACAAAAACGGUCUGCUAUAACAGAUAAUCCAACUCACUGACAUGUACACCUGCAAUUAUAUAUGAUAAAAAAGUUUUAGGCAUUUAUUUGCUUUGACAUCUGUACCUGGAUCUUGAAACUGCAAUUCUAUAUAAAAAGUGCUGUCAAACACAGAAUCAGAUGCCUCUUUUAUCGAGCAGCUUUUACACAUUGAAGUAAAGAAGAUCUUUAAAAUCAUCAUUGCCAAUUCAUGAUCUGGUGCAAUGACUAACAUGUUAUUUGUCUAUUCAACAUUGUACAUUUCUAAUUGGAUUGGCAUAUAAUUCGACAAAAUCUUACAGAUCAAAAUCUUUGUUAAUUUUUAGUGAAAAAUCAAGUUGUGCAGAAAUGUAAGACUUGAAUAUUCUGGUCAUCAACAAUGGUAGACUAUUAAAACGGAAAAGAUAAUUAAACUGUUGAUCCAGGAUUCCACCUUAAGAAAGAAAACCUGAUAUCAUUAGGAUCUAGUACCUGAUGAACCUUUUCAUGCCUUUUACUUUUCAGAAAGCAAUCCACAACCAGCUUGCUCUUUGCUUCUUUUUCAAUUCUCUGAGUCAUUCUUUUUUUUUAUUCCCCUCUUCGGAGUUCUGUCGGUUGGAGGAAGUUGGAUUAUCUAUUUCUCUGCAAACUUGUGCAUCUCGAAAAGAAAAAACCAAAAUGGGAAAUAUGGUUCUGAUCAAGGAACUUUUACUGCGCCGGAAAGAAGUAUUUUGUGUCAGACCUUAAAAACCAAUUGUGACAAUCAAAGAGACAAAACUGAGCUACCCAGAAUCAAUCUCAGACUUGAGCAAAUGUAAAAUGAGACAGUCUAUCUGCAGAAGGCACUUUCAAGUCAGAUUUGUUCUCUCUCACUGCCAUUCUAAACUAUGAACCUGGAAAAAGUACACACACACACAUAUUCCUGAAUUUGUUUUUAUGAAGAAUGCUGUCAACAAAACCGAGUACAAGAUAUAUAAAAAUCCAAGCAAAUUAAAACUUAGUUUUUAAGCCAUGCAGAAAAUCGAAAAAGAAAGAAAUGAAAAACCAAUGGAUAUGAGGUUGCAGAAUAAUGGUUGAUUACAGUUUUUAACAAUGAGGAGCACAUCAGGGGAUGGAAUAAGGAUUAGCUGCACCAUGGUAAAGAAAAAAGAAUUUCGCUCGUUAGUUUUUUCCAUCGCAAAUCCUCUCAAGAAGUUGGACCCAUCAAUCUAGUGCAUAAACAUCUAGCACAACAAUGAUCUUAAUCCGGUAAAGAAUUCCAUAUCCUAUCAUGUGGUC
rnacentral:lncRNA from 1 species